rnacentral:rRNA from 1 species
GACGAACGCUGGCGGCGUGCUUAACACAUGCAAGUCGAACCGGCCCGCUCUCUUUUUUGGGGGUGGGUUGAGUGGCGAACGGGUGAGUAUCACGUGAGUAACCUGCCCCCUGCUCCUGGAUAACUGCUUGAAAGGGCGGCUAAUACGGGGUGUGCCGGCUGGUCCGCAUGGGCCUGGUCGGGAUAGUUUCAUCUUCGGGUGUUUCGGUGGGGGCUGGGCUCGCGGCCUAUCCGCUUGUUGGUGGGGUGAUGGCCCACCAAGGCGGUGACGGGUAGCCGGCCUGGGAGGGUUGGCGGCCACACUGGGACUGAGACACGGCCCAGACUCCUGCGGGAGGCAGCAGUGGGGGGUAUUGCACAAUGGGCGGAAGCCUGAUGCAGCGACGUCGCUUGAGGGAUGGAGGCCUUCGGGUUGUGAACCUCUUUCUCCGGUGGUGAAGGCCCUGUCCGUUGCGGCGGGGUUGACGGUAGCCGGGUAUGAAGCGCCGGCUAACUACGUG